rnacentral:rRNA from 1 species
UACGUAGGGGGCAAGCGUUGUCCGGAUUUAUUGGGCGUAAAGAGCGUGUAGGCGGCCAGGUAGGUCUGCUGUGAAAACUCGAGGCUUAACCUCGAGCUGUCGGCGGAAACCAUCUGGCUAGAGUCCGGAAGAGGAGAAUGGAAUUCCCGGUGUAGCGGUGAAAUGCGCAGAUAUCGGGAAGAACACCCGUGGCGAAGGCGGUUCUCUGGGCCGAUACUGACGCUGGGGCACGAAGGCCAGGGGAGCAAACGGG